CAGCCGCCGCGGUAAAACGAAGGGGGCUAGCGUUGCUCGGAAUGACUGGGCGUAAAGGGCGCGUAGGCGGCGAUCAAAGUCAGGCGUGAAAUUCCUGGGCUCAACCUGGGGGCUGCGCUUGAUACUUGGUUGCUUGAGUGGGGAAGAGGGUCGUGGAAUUCCCAGUGUAGAGGUGAAAUUCGUAGAUAUUCGGAAGAACACCGGUGGCGAAGGCGGCUCACUGGACCGACACUGACGCUGAGGCGCGAAAGCGUGGGGAGCAAACAGGAUUAGAUACCCCUGUAGUCCCUGUCUCUUAUAC
rnacentral:rRNA from 1 species